UACAGAGGGUGCAAGCGUUAAUCGGAAUUACUGGGCGUAAAGCGUGCGUAGACGGUUACAUAAGUCGGAUGUGAAAGCCCCGGGCUCAACCUGGGAAUGGCAUUCGAGACUGUGUAGCUAGGAUGCGGAAGAGGGAAGCGGAAUUUCCGGUGUAGCGGUGAAAUGCGUAGAUAUCGGAAGGAACACCAGUGGCGAAAGCGGCUUCCUGGUCCAGCAUCGACGUUCAGGCACGAAAGCGUGGGGAGCAAACAGG
rnacentral:rRNA from 1 species